UUACUGUCAGCUGAGGCUAGACUUACACAUGNCAAGUAUCCGCACCCCUGUGAGAAUGCCCCCACCUCCUGCCCUGAAUUGGGGAGCUGGUAUCAGGCACAAUCCUAUUAGCCCAUGACACCUUGCUUAGCCACGCCCUCAAGGGACUUCAGCAGUGAUAAAUUUUAAGCCAUGAGUGAAAACUCGACUUAGUUAAAGCUCAGAGAGCCGGUAAAACUCGUGCCAGCCACCGCGGUUAGACGGGAGGCUCAAGUUGACAGACUACGGCGUAAAGCGUGGUUAGGGAAAAUACUAAACUAAAGCCGAACGUCCUCAAAGCUGUUUAACGCUUCCGAGUUAAGAAGCCCCCUUACGAAAGUAGCUUUAUUAAACCUGAUCCCACGAAAGCUGAGGAACAAACUGGGAUUAGAUACCCCACUAUGCUCAGUCGUAAACUUUGAUAGGUCACUACGCCCCCUAUCCGCCCGGGUACUACGAGCACUAGCUUGAAACCCAAAGGACUUGGCGGUGCUUCACAUCCGUCUAGAGGAGCCUGUUCUAGAACCGAUAAUCCCCGUUAAACCUCACCCUCCCUUGCCAAUUCCGCCUAUAUACCGCCGUCGUCAGCCUACCCUGUGAAGGUCCAGAAGUGAGCUAAAUCGGUAAAGCCCAAAACGUCAGGUCGAGGUGUAGCGUAUGGGAGGGGAAGAAAUGGGCUACAUUUCCUAAGUCAGGAAACACGAAUAAUGAGCUGAAACGAUCAUUUGAAGGUGGAUUUAGCAGUAAGCAGGAGAACAGAGUGCUCCGCUGAAACAAUGGCCAUAAAGCACGCACAUACCGCCCGUCACUCUCCCCAAGCUACCUCACUAGAAACAU
rnacentral:ncRNA from 1 species